rnacentral:ribozyme from 1 species
GGAAGGAAGAAAGAAAAAAGUAAGAAAUAUCGAGGUGACGUUGAAAAGUAGACGAAGGGGAAAAAUAGUAAAUGUUUUUAAUUUUUUUGUUUCUUCUCUCUCUCU